rnacentral:rRNA from 1 species
UACGUAGGGUGCAAGCGUUAAUCGGAAUUACUGGGCGUAAAGCGUGCGCAGGCGGUUGUGCAAGACAGAUGUGAAAUCCCCGGGCUUAACCUGGGAACUGCAUUUGUGACUGCACGGCUAGAGUGUGUCAGAGGGGGGUAGAAUUCCACGUGUAGCAGUGAAAUGCGUAGAUAUGUGGAGGAAUACCGAUGGCGAAGGCAGCCCCCUGGGAUAACACUGACGCUCAUGCACGAAAGUGUGGGGAGCAAACAGG